AUUGAACGCUGGCGGCAGGCCUAACACAUGCAAGUCGAGCGGAUGAAGGGAGCUUGCUCCUGGAUUCAGCGGCGGACGGGUGAGUAAUGCCUAGGAAUCUGCCUGGUAGUGGGGGAUAACGUCCGGAAACGGGCGCUAAUACCGCAUACGUCCUGAGGGAGAAAGUGGGGGGUCCUCGGACCUCACGCUAUCAGAUGAGCCUAGGUCGGAUUAGCUAGUUGGUGGGGUAAAGGCCUACCAAGGCGACGAUCCGUAACUGGUCUGAGAGGAUGAUCAGUCACACUGGAACUGAGACACGGUCCAGACUCCUACGGGAGGCAGCAGAGGGGAAUAUUGGACAAUGGGCGAAAGCAUGAUCCAGACAUGCCGCGUGUGUGAAGAAGGUCUUCGGAUUGUAAAGCACUUUAAGUUGGGAGGAAGGGCAGUAAGUUAAUACCUUACUGUUUUGACGUUACCAACAGAAUAAGCACCGGCUAACUUCGUG
rnacentral:rRNA from 1 species